rnacentral:rRNA from 1 species
CCCUUAGAUGUCCUGGGCCGCACGCGCGUUACACUGAUGCAUUCAACGAGCUUAUAACCUUGGCCGAGAGGCCUGGGCAAUCUUGUUAACGUGCAUCGUGAUAGGGAUAGAUUAUUGAAAUUAUUAAUCUUGAACGAGGAAUUCCUAGUAAACGCAGAUCAUCAAUCUGCAUUGAUUACGUCCCUGCCCUUUGUACACACCGCCCGUCGCUACUACUGAUUGGAUGUUUAAGCGAGGUUCUCGAACUGCUAGCGACUUAGCUUCGGUGAGGUCGCAGUGUGGGAAGUGAACCGAGCUUUGGUGUCUAGAGGAAGUAAAAGUCGUAACA